UCACAAAACAAGCUAUUCUGUCAUCUCAUCCAGCUUUCCUCUCAGACAGAAGSGGAGUGGGAGACCAUCAGGGUCACUGCCGCCACAGCUAGCAAGGCUGCCCUCCCUGCCCUCUGCUGUCAUCUUAGCCUAGCAGAACACACCAUUUCAUCAAUGACUUGGACUGGACAUUCAAAACAGAAACUGUGGUUUCUUCAGUGCUGGGGAAAAAUCUUUGUCUUGAAGCACUGUGGUGCACUGUGCAUGCUGCCGGGGGCUCCCAAAGCCCCACAGGUCCAAGCAGUGAAUUAUGGAGAAGGACUCAGAAGACAAGCGGGUCUGGAGCCCAUUGGGAAGCUGACCUGGUUUCUGUGGGUCAGACGUACUGACCCUUGCAGUGAGACUGUAAAGCUCACCUUUCCAAAGCUCCAGCMAACCACUGCUGGGACAGACGUGCUGGAAGCUGUAACAAUGGCUGCACUGAUGGAAGGGAAGGUUUUAUUGUAAGUUAGAUUUUGAGAUGAGUAAUUAUGCAAACAAGCAAUUAACUAAAAUAAAUAAGAAUGUCUUCCUCUUUCAGGGCAUGCUUUUAGUUUGACUUGCAGUAGGGCAGAUUUCUCAAAGCUGAAUCAAGCCUUAAAAACAAAGAUAAAGGGGAUGCCGGGAAARAGAUAAAUACUGUUCCAUCUCUCCUCUACAGCAUUAAGUGCUAUGUGCAUGUAUGUGCAACAGGGCAGCUGUAACUCACAGAAUCAGGAAAUAYAUUAAAAUACCAAAGAUUUGAGGCCAGGUAAG